UUAGCCUAAACCAGAGCCGGCUCUAGCCUAAACCAGAGAGAUCUCUAGGGCUCUGGCCUAAACGGCAUUGGCUAAACAUUUUCAAUUCUUCUUGAACAAAUACACAAGAAAAACGAAAACUACAGCAACAAAAAUGACGAGGACGACGAAAGCACCAAUGUUAAGGACAACGGCGACUGAUAUUUAAAGUUUGUUUUUAUGCUAGUUUAGCUAACCCUUCAAUCAAGUCCAUAGAGUCCGCGAGUUCUUAUUAUACAUCCAUGGAGUUCACCUGUGAGCGCCCCGUCUCCAAGUUUGCAUUUGUGGCCAUACAAAUGAACUAUCAUAAGAAUAAGAUGAACUAUAACCCGGUGUGUUUCCUUAUGUGAUGGGGCUUCUGCACAGAGUAAGACCAGAACCAACACUCAGUUUAAGGGACAGCAGAUCAGAUAUGGAGAAUGAAUAUGGAAGAUUUACUUCUAACAAAAUGACCCAGAGAGGUGAUUCCAGGAACUAGCGCUGAUGCUGACAAACGAUCAAAUGUAACUAUGGAUAGAAAAAAGAGGUGAUGAUGAACAGUGGAAUUACUUUGUGUAUACCUUGAGAGUUGUUCUAGUAAAGUCCAUUAUCAUUUAUAAAGAGCCAUAUCACCCCUGUUUCUAAUCAUUUCAUAAAGGAUUUAAGAAGUGAGUAGGUUGUGAUUGAUUUCCUCCAUUCCAAACUGAUUAUUGCCUGUUGUGUUUUGCCCUCUUUUACACCUUAUAGAUGUUCUACACCAUAUAUGUCAGUCAGGCUGCAGCAGAAGCAGACCUCAGGCCUGCAGUGCUUUCCGACACCUCUGAAUGUCAGUCAUGCUCGUGCCGGAAAGCCUGACCUUUCACAUGUUAUUUACAGGAGGCGGCGCAGGAAGGAAGUGUUACCUUAUUUGUGGCGUCGAUGAACUUCACUCCUUUGUAGGACACGGAGAGGACGAUGGUCGGCACCUUCUUCAUCUGCUCUGUGGACUUCUUCGAGUUCAUAAGAAGCAAAGAAGACAAAACACAUCAGAGAUGACAUUUGAAGCUUCCAAUAGUCACAGGCAUCAGUUGGAGUAUUACACUUUUAAAGGUCCCAUGUCAUGGCCAUUCCUACUGAUCAUAAUUCCAUUGUUGAGGUCUACUAGAAUAGAUUUACAUUUUUCAAUGUUCCAAACUCACAUUGGUUUCUCAUACAGCA